rnacentral:lncRNA from 1 species
GUCCUCGGCACGUUCAUCAUGGCGCCGACGGAGGAACCCGCAGCUGCCACGCUAGCUUCGCCACCGCCACCGCCACCGCCACCUCACUUCGUUAUCGUCCCCCUCGUGGCGCAGGGCCAUACCAUCCCCAUGGUCGACUUCGCCCGCCUCCUCGCCGAGCGCGGCGCGCGCGUGAGCCUCGUCACGACGCCGGUGAACGGCGCCCGGCUGCGCGGCGUCGCCGGCCAGGCCGCGCGCGCCAAGCUCGCCCUGGAGCUCGUCGAGCUCCCCUUCCCGACGGGCGUCGACGGCCUGCCCCCGGGCAUCGAGAACGUGGACCAGGUCACGGACCAC